GAUGAAGAACGUAGUGAAAUGCGAUAAGUAGUGUGAAUUGCAGAAUUCAGUGAAUCAUCGAAUCUUUGAACGCACAUUGCGCCCUUUGGUAUUCCUUAGGGCAUGCCUGUUCGAGCGUCAUUUAAACCUUCAAGCUAAGCUUGGUGUUGGGUGACUGUCCGCUUCACGGCGGACUCGCCUCAAAAUUAUUGGCGGCCGGUACAUUGGCUUCGAGCGCAGCAGAAACGCGAACUCGGGCCCGUCGUAUUGGCUCCCAGAAGCUAUCUUCACAAUUUUGACCUCGGAUCAGGUAGGAAUACCCGCUGAACUUAAGCAUAUCAAUAAGCGGAGGA
rnacentral:misc_RNA from 1 species